GGUUGAUCCUACUAGUUGGGAAUGGUGUAUUAAUUUUUCAGUCAAUACAUAUCUCCAGUUUUCCUUGACUUCUGAUUUUACACCGAGUUAGUGAUCUUGAGCGACCAUUUAGUAUAACUGAUCAACUAUACUUUUGUCAGUGAAGCUUGAAGUGAUCUGAGAAAGGGGUUCAUGUACCUUAAAAUCAGCUAGCUUUUCAGUCCGAAAAAGAAAAAGCAUGACAGCUUGUUGUGCAAGCCUAUUAUUUUGGUUUUUUUAUGCAUUAUUAGGUGUGCACGCUCGCCAAAUACAAUGGUCAUACUCCUCUCUUCCAUUGAUAGUAAAUUCGUUUUCUCGUUUGUAAUACAUAGUAAAUGCGGAGUGUUUUUUCAUUUGCAAAGAAUGAGAUAUGAAAACUCGACACAACAUAGUAAGCAUUAAAGUGUCCUCAGAAGACCCUCUAUCCAUCAAGAAACAAUAAUGCUUAUUUUUUUUUUGUUAAGAUAACAUAAUCCAAGCAGUAAUCAACCUGAAUUUUAAUGGCUGCAAUAGAAAUCGUCUCCCAACUUUUAAAGCUUCAAUAUCUCUGAUUCCAUCGGUUGUGAAAUUUCUUACGCGGGUGCGUAACGAGUUCAUCCAUGAUGAAACAUAUGGCCAGAUGUCUAUGUCAUGUGUGGCCUUGUGGUCAUGUCUUGGUGGGGGUUGGGACUUGUAGCUUAAGAUCAAAGGCCCGAUCCCUC